rnacentral:rRNA from 1 species
CGGCCUUGACAUCCCCCUGACGAACGGGCAAUGCCGUUUUUCCUUCGGGACAGGGGAGACAGGUGGUGCAUGGUUGUCGUCAGCUCGUGUCGUGAGAUGUUGGGUUAAGUCCCGCAACGAGCGCAACCCCUGCCUUUAGUAGCCAGCAUAUGAGAUGGGGACUCUAAAGGGACUGCCAGGGACAACCUGGAGGAAGGUGGGGACGACGUCAAAUCAUCAUGCCCCUUAUGGCCGGGGCUACACACGUGCUACAAUGGCGUAAACAAAGGGAAGCGAAGGCGCGAGCCGGAGCGAAUCCCAAAAAUAACGUCCCAGUUCGGAUUGCAGUCUGCAACUCGACUGCAUGAAGCUGGAAUCGCUAGUAAUCGCGGAUCAGAAUGCCGCGGUGAAUACGUUCCCGGGUC